rnacentral:lncRNA from 1 species
GAGCGUCCGCGGCCCGCGCAGAGCCGCGCACCAAGCCGAUGGCGGUGGACGCAGCAGGGCCCCGCGGUCUGAGUGCGGGCAGGCGCGCGUGGGCGUGUCUCCCUGGCCCACGCGUGUCCCCGGCAUCAGUGUCUCGGCUCUGGUCCAGGACGAAGACUUCUGAAAGCGAGCCAAGGAGAAUCACAGUUCUUAACGGAGCCCCUGACUGCCCGGUGGAAGGAGGUGAUUUAGAAGACAGUGAGACUCAGCUACUGUUCCCAUCGAGAUGCAAAGGACACAGAGCUCACGGGUGCUCCAGCAAUGCUGGUGUCAUGUUUGGAGGUAGCUGUCUAUGGACUACAGUAUUCUCCCAGUGCUAGUCUGCAGUCACUGCAAAGCCUCCCAAUAGAACAUUUCUUCCUGAGCCAACCUAUCAGUGCAGCUCUGGAAGCAAAUGACCUCUCCUGGCAGAGCCUUCACUGUGUGGGGAACAUCAGAUUUGUGUAAAGAAGGUGUGCACUGUAGAGAAGCUGCUGCGAAGGCCACAGGUCACUCAGGAAAAUUUGGGGCAGUUUUCUAGGUUCAAGGGAGACUGGACAUCAAAGCUGCACUGGGACAUAUGGACGCCUUGAUCCACUUUGGCCAUUCCACCUCAGCUCAGAAUUACUCACUGGUGUCAGCACAGGAUGUUUCUUGGCUUCAAACCAUUUGGAUAAGUGAUGGCAGCAAGCUUCGCCACUGUAAAGUCACCUCUUUAAAUCUUGAUGCCGUGCCGUGAACCCCAGCUCUCCUACGGGAAGAUGGGAGGCGUAGACAGGAGUUCAUCUGGAAGCUUGAGGCCAGCCACCCAGAUCCUCAGAGCUGCAGACAAAAGAGAGGCCCUGCAGCAAAAGAGUGGAAGGUGAGAACCAACUCCGGAAAGUUGCCCUCUGACCUUUACAAGUGUAUACAUCCACACACAUACAAUAAAAUCAAUUGCUCAAUCA